UAGAGUUUGAUCCUGGCUCAGAUUGAACGCUGGCGGAAUGCUUUACACAUGCAAGUCGAACGGCAGCACGGGUGCUUGCACCUGGUGGCGAGUGGCGAACGGGUGAGUAAUACCUAGGAACAUGUCCAGUAAUGGGGGAUAACGCAGCGAAAGCUGUGCUAAUACCGCAUACGCCCUACGGGGGAAAGCGGGGGAUUCGCAAGAACCUCGCGUUAUUGGAGUGGCCUAGGCCUGAUUAGCUAGUUGGUGAGGUAAAGGCUCACCAAGGCGACGAUCAGUAGCUGGUCUGGGAGGAUGAUCAGUCACACUGGAACUGGGACACGGUCCAGACUCCUACGGGAGGCAGCAGUGGGGAAUAUUGGACAAUGGGCGAAAGCCUGAUCCAGCCAUGCCGCGUGUGUGAAGAAGGUCUUCGGAUUGUAAAGCACUUUAAGUUGGGAGGAAGGGCCAUUACCCAAUACGUGAUGGUUUUGACGUUACCGACAGAAUAAGCACCGGCUAACUCUGUGCCAGCAGCCGCGGUAAUACAGAGGGUGCAAGCGUUAAUCGGAAUUACUGGGCGUAAAGCGCGCGUAGGUGGUUUGUUAAGUUGGAUGUGAAAUCCCCGGGCUCAACCUGGGAACUGCAUUCAAAACUGACUGACUAGAGUAUGGUAGAGGGUGGUGGAAUUUCCUGUGUAGCGGUGAAAUGCGUAGAUAUAGGAAGGAACACCAGUGGCGAAGGCGACCACCUGGACUGAUACUGACACUGAGGUGCGAAAGCGUGGGGAGCAAACAGGAUUAGAUACCCUGGUAGUCCACGCCGUAAACGAUGUCAACUAGCCGUUGGGAGCCUUGAGCUCUUAGUGGCGCAGCUAACGCAUUAAGUUGACCGCCUGGGGAGUACGGCCGCAAGGUUAAAACUCAAAUGAAUUGACGGGGGCCCGCACAAGCGGUGGAACAUGUGGUUUAAUUCGAAGCAACGCGAAGAACCUUACCAGGCCUUGACAUCCAAUGAACUUUCUAGAAAUAGAUUGGUGCCUUCGGGAACAUUGAAACAGGUGCUGCAUGGCUGUCGUCAGCUCGUGUCGUGAAAUGUUGGGUAAGUCCCGUAACGAGCGCAACCUUUGCCUUAGUUACCAGCACGUAAUGGUGGGCACUCUUAAGGAACUGCCGGUGACAAACCGGAAGGAAGGUGGGGAUAAC
rnacentral:rRNA from 1 species